ensembl:lncRNA
CUGUCACGAUGCAGGCACAGUUGUCUCCUGCACGAAUCGAAUCCAUCCUGGCCACGGUGACCAGGAUAAAGCUAGGCCAGGCCAUCACUGUUAAACAUUUUCAGAGAGUGUUAGGUCUCAUGGCAGCAGCAUCCAAUAUCACUCCAUUCGGUCUCCUGCACAUGAGGCCCUUGCAGUGAUGGUUGAAGACCAAGGGGUUCUCCCCGAGGGGAAACCCGUUUCGCUUGAUCAGGGUUACGCGCAGAUGCCUUCGUUCCCUAUCUAUGUGGAAGAGAGCUUGGUUUCUGUCCCGAGGUCCCGUGCUGGGAGCGUCAUGUCACCGGAAAAGCCAUCUCGACAGACGCCUCCCUCACGGGCUGGGGCGCGGUCAUGGACGGCCGCAUUACGAGAGCUAUGGCAAGACUGUCAUUCCUCCUGGCAUAUAAACUGCCUGGAGAUGUUGGCGGUGUGCCGAGCUCUGAGGAGCUUUCUGCCGGACAUCAAGGGUCAUCACGUCCUUGUGAGGACAGACAAUAUGUCGGUGGUGGCCUAUAUAAACCAUCAAGGGGGUCUGAGGUCUAGCCCUCGAUGCAGACUGGCGCAUCAGAUCCUCCUGUGGUCCCAGGGGAAAUUGUUGUCUCUCAGAGCAACAUACAUCCCAGUGAAUCAGAAUCAGGGAGCAGACAUCCUGUCGAGGCAGGGGCUGAGGCCAGGGGAAUGGAGACUCCAUCCCGAGGUGGUGGAGUCAAUAUGUCAGAAGUUCGGCCCAGUGGAAGUGGAUCUAUUCGCGUCUCGGGAGAUGACUCACUGUCCACUGUGGUUCUCUCUCACACAUCCAGCCCCACUGGGGUUGGAUGCCAUGGUACAGACGUGGCCGAGGCUGCAUCUGUAUGCUUUUCCCCCGAUCGCUCUGCUCCCGGGAGUUCGUCGCAACGGCAUCAGUCUAUUAUUGGUAGCCCCAUUGUGGCCGGCCCGAGUAUGGCUCUCAGACAUACUAUUACUCCUGGACGGCCCUCCAUGGGAGCUUCCCGUCAGGAGGGACCUGCUGACACAGGCAGAGGGCUCAAUAUUUCACCCUCGGCCCGAACUAUGGAAACUGUGGGUCUGGCCCCUGAGGCGGCACAGUACCGAGAGGCCGGCCUGUCAGCAGGAGUAGUGGAAACCAUACUCAGCUCUAGAGCUCCUUCCACCAGGAAAUUGUACGGCCUAAAAUGGAAUGUUUUCACCAUUUGGUGCAGAGAGCGUGAGGUGGACCCAGUUAAUUGCCCAGUGGCUUCAGUGCUGGAGUUUCUCCAAGAUCGCUU